GCACUGAAGGAUGAGCCCAAGUCGGAUUAGCUAGUUGGCGGGGUAACGGCCCACCAAGGCGACGAUCCGUAGCUGGUCUGAGAGGACGAUCAGCCACACCGGAACUGAGACACGGUCCGG
rnacentral:rRNA from 1 species